CAAAGAGAAGAAAACUCCCUCUGAUUAGUUUUGUUCUUCAUAGUAUCGACCAUGAAGAAAGACAUGAUUAUUUCAUGGGAGAACAGUCUGUUUUUUCUUCAUUCAUGUUUGGUUGUGGCCGUGGAUAUCCAUGUUUGUCCGUUGAUGUUCUGCUUCUUGAGAUUUAGUCUUCUCUUACCUUUCGGAUUUUUGAAUUUUAAUUUGCUUUAAAAAUUAAAAUUUGGAAAUGUUCGCUUUACAAUUUUUCUAACCGUAAGAGAUGUGAAAGAUGGAAGCCAGUUUCAACGUGGUACAUCUUCUGAUUUAAAUUUAAUGGUUAGUCAUUUCGGUUUUGCAAAGAGGAAUCAGUUAAUAAGGAGAUGGAUGUUGGAGUUGGUGCUCCUUCAAAUCACUUGGCAAGGGAAAGAUCUCUCUUAUCCGCUUUCCAUAAUUUUAUUAGUUGUGCGUUGUUCAUGUCGGGUCAGGCUUCCCGAGGGUGUUCUAAAUUCAUUUCAUUUGGUUCGUCGUACGGCUGCUGCAUCCCUUUCCAAACAUAUGAGUAUGUCGACAAUGUUUGUUUUCCUAUAUCUGAUUCCUAUGUGCAUUAACAUCAUUUUCGGGUGAAGGUCUAACGUCUUAACGUCAAGGCCUUAAGUAACUUCUCAUAAUUCGUUUUAUUUGACGGUUCAAAGUUAUUUGAAUGUUAGGCAGCUGGUGAUAUUUAUAUCUACUUUGUGGGGAGCACAUGAAGAAUGAAAACCUCUUAAUCAAAUACCACCGGUAACCUAAAUAAAAUUUACAUUGCUGGAUUAGAGAUCUUGAUUUUAAUUUACCUGACAGUUCAGUCGUACUUAUAAGUCACCUCCAUAUUGCUUUUAACCAUGUUCGGGUCGGUUGGUUUUGAUUAAAAACUAAGUUCCUUUUGCUUAGAAGUUUUUUGAAAUAAACACACAAUGCCAUGCUAUUACUCCCAUUUGUUAAAUUAUGUGGAAUAAAAUUUGCAUAGUUCAAUAAUUUGUUGGUUGGUGCUAUUUAUGUUUAACUCGAUACUCAUUGUGUUUGUGAUUAUGCAGAGACGAAUCAAUUAGUAAGAAGAAGAUGGUUAGUUUGGACGGACACAAUAAAUAAAAACCAUAAAAGGGCUAUUGCAGGAGCAGCUUCCCAUCAAAAGGGAAACGUCGAACAACAUAUGUAAUACAAACAUCGUGUCUGCCAUGAAACUAUUCACUCCCUUCCGGUAGAACGGAGUCAUUGACAAUC